CCCGGCUCGGUCCUGCCCCGCGUCCCUGCAGUUCACAAAGGGCGUCGGCCAGCUCCUGGGUGGUGACCUCGAUGAACUUGGGAUCUUGAGCAAACUGCCCCAGUCCUUCUGAAAUCAAGACCUGAAGGAGCGGGGUGGGAGCCAUGAAGAACCAAAGGAACAUUACUCCUGGAGCCCAGCUCUUCCCUUGAGGGCUAGAGCGAGGGGGUAUCUGAGAAACCAUUCUCCCUGGUGAAACUGCUGAGACAGGCCCACUGCCCAUUGCCUGCUGCUGCCUUUCCAGGGGUGAGGUAUCUGUGCAAACACGGCGCAUGCCCCUGCCUUGCUUCUGCUGGGAAGGGCCAGCAGGUGACCCUUAAGCUUCUCUGUCCUCCCUACCGGCUGCUUAGUGCCUGGCUAUGGGAAAAUCGGCUCCUGAGCCAGCGGGUCGGGGGAAGCUGAGUGCAGCCUGGCACUCGCUCCUUUCAGGCAUCUGUUUGUCUUGCUCCUUGCCCACGCCACUCAUUCUCUCCUUGCCCUGCUUAGUUUUUCUUUGGCACUCCUGACCUUCCUGAUGUGUUAUAUAUGUAUGUGUUUAUUAUCUGUCUCUCCUCACCAUGAUGUGAGCUCAUGAGAGCAGAAGCUCUGUUUCUCAGCUGUGUCCCUGUACCUAGAACAGGGCCUGCACAUGGUAGGCGCUCAGGGAAGGUCUGUGAAAUGAAUGCAGGAUGAUCGAGGCCACAGGAAUACCAGACUUUGAGAGGUAAACCUUGGAAGCCACCUGGUUUAACGCCCCACCUCCUGCACCACAGCCUGACGCCCGGAUGAGCACAGUCUCUGCUUGGCUAUGUCUGAUGAUGGGGGGCUCACUACCUUUCAGGCAAGCCCCUCUCAUCUUGGAAGAGCUCAUUUGGGAAGGUCUUCCCCAUGUGAGCUGAAAUCUGUCCGCUGGUGGGCUGAGCCUGCCACCCUUUCCCCAUCCCACCCGUUGCAGGUGUGAGAGGUGUAUCGCACCCUCCAAAGUCACCUCCUCUCCAGGUUUUCUUCCCGAAUUCCCUGAAACGGUUCUCCUAGGAAAUGGUUUCUAGGAACCUUGCCAUCCUGGUCAUCCUCUGUUGGGUUUGUUCCAGUGUGUCAAAGGUCCCUAAUAAUGUGGUGCCGGGAUUGCACUAGAUGCUCUGACCAGGCAGAGCACAGUGGGACUGAAAGCUCGCUUGUUCUAGGCUAGUGGCUCUCAACCUUGCUACACGUUAAAAUCAUCGAAGAGCUUUAACAAUCAUCAGUUAAUCUGUCCCGGGUUUCCAAAGCUCCCCAGGUGAUGCUCACGGGCAGUCAGGCCUGAGCACCUUGGAUCUUGCCUGUCUGUGUAUAAAGGCAGCCAGGCUCACAUUUGCAUGUCGAGCAGCUGCAGUAUAAGGGAUAAGUUGCUCAGUGGUUUCUGCCGCCCUCUGCAGUGGGCCCAGCCUCAAGAGAGCCCAUAGCAUCUUGUGCAGUCAUGGCUUUCCGCACACGAGCCCUCCUGCAGCCCUGAGAGGGAGGGUCUUUCGGGCUCAGAUAUUGACUGCAAUGAAUUUGGCAAGAGCCAGGUGCUCCCUUCUCAGCCCCGCAUGCCAAGUCCCCUUGUUGCCCGUGGCCUCUCC
rnacentral:lncRNA from 10 species